AGUGGGGAAUCUUGGACAAUGGGCGAAAGCCUGAUCCAGCCAUGCCGCGUGAGUGAAGAAGGCCUUAGGGUUGUAAAGCUCUUUCGGCGGGGACGAUAAUGACGGUACCCGCAGAAGAAGCCCCGGCUAACUCCGUGCCAGCAGCCGCGGUAAUACGGAGGGGGCUAGCGUUGUUCGGAAUUACUGGGCGUAAAGCGCACGUAGGCGGACUGUUAAGUCGGGGGUGAAAUCCUGGGGCUCAACCUCAGAAUUGCCCUCGAUACUGGCAGCCUUGAGUACGGGAGAGGUGAGUGGAAUUCCCAGUGUAGAGGUGAAAUUCGUAGAUAUUGGGAAGAACACCAGUGGCGAAGGCGGCUCACUGGCCCGUAACUGACGCUGAGGUGCGAAAGCGUGGGGAGCAAA
rnacentral:rRNA from 2 species